AUGUUUUCUGGAGCUCUGCUGCUGCUGCUGGCAGCUGGAUGUGUUGAUGCUCAGGCUCUGACACAAUCUGAACCAGUGGUUAAAAGUCCUGGACAAUCCCACAGACUGACCUGUUACUCUUAUGGGUUCACAAUGAGCAUCUACCAUAUGAACUGGGUCAGACAGGCUCCUGGACAAGGACUGGAGUGGAUCCCCUGGAUUGAGUAUGAUAAUGACAGAAAAUUCUACCCUACUUCAGUCAGAGGCCAGUUCACCAUCUCCAGAGACAACAGCAGACAGCAGCUGUAUCUGCAGAUGAACAGUCUGAAGGCUGAAGACUCUGCUGUGUAUUACUGUGCCAGGCAGCCUCACAGUGACUGA